rnacentral:rRNA from 1 species
UCUACGGGAGGCAGCAGUGGGGAAUCUUGCACAAUGGGGGAAACCCUGAUGCAGCGAUGCCGCGUGAGUGAAGAAGGCCUUUGGGUUGUAAAACUCUUUCGUCGGGGAAGAAAAUGACUGUACCCGAAUAAGAAGGUCCGGCUAACUUCGUGCCAGCAGCCGCGGUAAUACGAAGGGACCUAGCGUAGUUCGGAAUUACUGGGCUUAAAGAGCUCGUAGGUGGUUAAAAAAGUUGAUGGUGAAAUCCCAAGGCUCAACCUUGGAACUGCCAUCAAAACUUUUUAGCUAGAGUGUGAUAGAGGUAAGUGGAAUUUCUAGUGUAGAGGUGAAAUUCGUAGAUAUUAGAAAGAACACCAAAUGCGAAGGCAACUUACUGGGUCACUACUGACACUGAGGAGCGAAAGCAUGGGUAGCGAAGAGGAUUAGAUACCCUCGUAGUCCAUGCCGUAAACGAUGUGUGCUAGACGUUGGAAAUAUAUUUUUCAGUGUCGCAGCGAAAGCAUUAAGCACACCGCCUGGGGAGUACGACCGCAAGGUUAAAACUCAAAGGAAUUGACGG